GACGAGGGAUCCUAGCGUUGUUCGGAUUUACUGGGCGUAAAGAGCGCGUAGGCGGCCUAUUAAGUGUGAAGUGAAAUCUCCAGGGCUCAACCCGGAAACUGCUUCGCAUACUGAUAGACUUGAGGAAUGCAGAGGUUUGUGGAAUUCCUGGUGUAACGGUGAAAUGUGUUGAUAUCAGGAGGAACACCCAUGGCGAAGGCAGCAAACUGGGCAUUAUCUGACGCUGAGGCGCGAAAGCGUGGGUAGCAAACAGGAUUAGAAACCCGUGUAGU
rnacentral:rRNA from 1 species